AAUACAGGUUUGAUUCAUGUCUCCAGGAGUCUUACAAUGCAUUUGGAAGCCAGGACCUGUUCAAUGGGAACCAAAAAUGGCAACCUAGGGGUUCAAACUUUCCAUAGUUUAAUACUCUUGAUGGCAAGAGAGGGGGAACUCAGCUGAGCCCAUGAUGGUCAGGUUGCAAUAGUUUUCCAGAUACGUUAAUGAGAGAACUAGUGGCAGGUAUCACCUCAUUGCCAAGAUGCUUCUGGUGCUUUUCCACACACACAGUCUUUGUACCCAAGAGGAGAACACACUGAAGAACACGUUUGACUCUCAAUUGUUAUGUUAGGCACGAAAUAGCCACCGAUUCAAAACUCAGCUCCAGCUGCUACCAAUUCCAGCACAGAGGAUCUUUCUGGAGAGUUAUUAGAACAUACUGUAACCACCAGGAGUCACUAAAUGCUCUUACCUUUGGGGACCCCUAUUCUGGUGACAUUGAUUUUAUUGUAGCAAAUGCUGAGGAAAAUACGGGCUGUGGUCAUGAAGUAUGGCGACCUAGGCUCACUGUGCCCUGAAGGCCCAGGUGUGGGUGUAGGCCGCUCCUCUACCCUCCCUCAGCCCACGCUGAGUUAGCAGCAAACGCAUGAGCACAACGAAGCGGAUUUACUAUUCCAUUUCGUACGUGGAAGAGGACAAAUGACACGACAGCCAGAUCUAUAUUUCCUCGGAAUCAAGUCAAUCUUGCGAAAGGCUCUUUUCCAAAGGCCCACCGCGAAGAGCCCAGCAGGGCGAGGAGAAAUGGCCGGGCCCCGACCCCAGGACGCCUCGCCGGCCCCGUCUUCCGCUCUUGACAGUGAGCGAGCUCCGUGUAGCGGGCGGGGACACGGCUCUGUCUGGUCCUCACAGAUGGACACAUCUAUCAGCAUGUCAGCAUGGCCCUGGCAGCCCCUCCACUCCUGGCGUGCUUAUGCUCCACAGCUCUUCCAAUUAGAGCACCAGGCCUGGUGCUGUGAAGUCACCGCUAUCAGGAUCGGUACAUGGAGGAGAAUAGGCCCGGGUUGACUAGAUGGAACACUGUGGUCCUCUUCCAGAGAAGAAAAGUUACAGCGCUUGAAGAGAGCAUGUAAAGCCAGUGUUAGAAAUACUGAAAUGGAAUCAACAGUGUUCGUGGCUGAGUGUAGAUUUUGUGGCUAAAAGGUAAGCUAUUCAUGAAAACCUCAGGUCCAAUUCUUUUUCAUGC
rnacentral:lncRNA from 1 species